AAGAAAAGAAAUUAAAAUUCUGAAGUUUGCAUACCUAACUGUUCACUUACGGUAUCUCACAGUCUAAUUAAUUCAUAGCCACAUGCAUAGAGUUUAUUGCAUUUGCAACUAUGCAGCAUCAAAUUGUUGCAAAGGGACCUCUGGAAAGGACUGUCCUUCCUCCCAAUGUGUAUGUGUGUAUGUACAUGUAAUACAUGUACAUAUAAUGAAGAUUACAUACAUGUAUAAUUGUAUUAUAUACAUAUAUAAUUGUAUACGUAUAUAAUACAUUUAUAUAAUCUUCAAUUAUAUGUAUAUGUAUUAUAUAUACAUACAUACACAUUGGGAAGGAUAUAUAUAUAAUUGAAGAUACAGAAUUGAAGAUGAGUAUAUUUAAUAUUUAUCAAAGGGUAAAGGCGCUCAUCCGCAGUUUGGAUCAGAGCCUCAAAAUCUAAAUUCAUGCCACGAAUAGCGUUUUUCAGAUGUUGACUUCCUAGGAUCCUAUUCUUUUAAACCUGAUUCAAUUUUUGUGCCUAUCAAGACAGACACCAAAGAUUUUAUUUAGGAGGAAAUAUGUGGUAUUCUUUUUAAACUUUUCCAGAGACAUCACUUAUGUGAUCUUACUUGGUUUCUACAACAUUCCCAGCCCCAGGAGGCAGGCAGAGUGAUAUUGCCAAUCACAUUUUUGUAGACACAGGCUCAGAGAAGUGACAUUACCUGCUAGAUGUCACACAGCCCAUCUGGGACCCCAGGGCUCAAGCCCCUGCCCUCUGGCCCUGAGUCCUGCCUCUGUCUGUGGACUCCCAGCUCUUGCUGUUGCUAGAGUGUGCUGCUCCUUUACUUGGCAUGUCCACAUUCCUGGGUUGUCCAGGAACGCACAUUCUUGGAGAGGAAGGGGAAUAGAUAUUUUAGCCACAUACAACACUCUGAGCUUGCCAGGCACCUAAUAGGGACACUCAAUAAAUAUUAAUUAAAGAAUGCAGCCACAUUGGCUUAUGUGCUGGCCAGAUCCUUUAAAGUGUCAAGAAUAUUCCUUGAGAGACUGAGUGUUAGGCUGGAAGGCUGUGUGGAGGCGGAGAGGACAGAAAAGUCCUGGAGUAAUGGAGUGCAUUCUCUUGGAAGAUGAAAAUAUCCACCCGCCCCAGGGGGCCCCUAUCUGUCACUGUCACCAGGAGAGAAGGAGGAAGGGAACAUAUGUCUGUUGAGUGCCUCUGGGACCUGUAUUUUUCUUGCUGGGGUGGGAUUUAUUCCGCUUCUCCCGUACUCCUGCAUCUCCAAGGCCAGUGGAGGACACCAGGGGACAGCUGGCUGAGAUCAAGGACUUGGAUAGGCAGUUCUGGGCACGCACAGCCAACUGUCGGGGCCUCUCCCCUAGUCUGAGUGUUCAUGCUCACAGAGCUGGUGUCCCCUGGAAUCCAGGGACUCGGAAGAGGGGAAAACUAAGCUGGAAGUGGAGAGUGAGGCAGAGGCCUGGGUAGGGAACCCUUGGGGAGCUCCCCCCAGCCUGAGGGCUGCUACCCAGUAGACCAAUGUGCCAGGAGGAGGAAGGAUGUGGGGGCAAAUGGGGAUCUCCCAUUCCACCCAGAGCCUGUGACUACCCUCUCUUUGCACUGGGAGGUAUUGCAUGCAGAAAGCAUAAGCAAGGCAAGUGAGGCUCCUCUGGGAAAGCCAGAACCUAGACAUUGAUCAGGCUCCUGGGGCUUUUUCAAAUGAGCUCAUCCCUGCUUUCCUAGGCCUCUUUUGGCAUUGAAUGGUAUUUCCCUUUGGUUCUUUCAAAAGCAAGAUGUGUUUGUGUAAUUUUAAACAAGUGAUCAAUUUCAGAUUAACGUCAAGGAAUUUCUUCAUCGUCUCCAUCAUCAAAUUCUACUUAACAUGCUCUGCCCAUUCCAAGAAAAAAAGAGGAAUGAAUGUGAACUCUUUUUGUACAUACAGCCAUUUACUCAAAAAAUGCAGCCGGCAGAGAUUCCACAGCUGGGAAGCUGACUGGUAAGCACCCUGUGUAAGUGAACGCGCUCAGUGGGAUGGAAGGAAGAGUACUGAGGGGACGCGGGAGGGAGGGAGAGGGCUCCAGGUCACUCAGGGUUUUGUAUGGCCAGGAAGGGAAUUUGUCUUUGAUCCAAGGGCGUGCAGAAGCCCCGCUGGGUGGUUGUGCACUCAAAUCAGCACUGAGCCCGACCGCCUGGCAGGGGAGAGGGACUGGGUGGGUCUGAGGACUCAAAUCAGCACUGAGCCCGACCACCUGGCAGGGGAGAGGGACUGGGUGGGUCUGAGGAAGACAGCAGAGGCUAAGGUGUGGACCAGUCCCGGACAGAUGCUGGGUGGUUGUGGUGGGUGAGACUGGAGAAAAGCAGAUAAGUGGAGAGGCAUUUUGGAGAUAAAAUGGAUAGGCUUUGGGGCUGGUAGGAUAAGGGGUAAGGGAGAGGUUUGUUGUCCUUGGUUUCUGGUUGUGAUCACUGGAUGGUGAGGAGUGAGCUUUCUGAGCGUGGAGCUCUGGAGGAAAAGCCUGUUUGGGAGUGUUAGAGGAGUUUGAACCAGAGCAACUCCAUCUUGAAUAGGGGCUGGGUAAAAUGAGGCUGAGACCUACUGGCUGCAUUCCCAGAGGGUUAAGGCAUUCUAAGUCACAGGAUGAGAUAGGAGGUCGGCACAAGAUACAGGUCAAAAAUACCUUGCUGAUAAAACAGGUUGCAGUAGAGAAGCUGGCCAAAAUCCACCAAGAUGGCGACAAGAGUGACCUCUGGUCAUCCUCACUGUUACACUCCCACCAGCGCCAUGACAGUUUGCAGAUUCCAGGUAAUGUCAGGAAAUUACCCUAUAUGGUCUAAAAAAAGGGGACACAUGAAUAAUCCACGCCUUGUUUAGCAUGUCAUUAAGAAAUAACCAUAAAAAUGGGCAACCAGCAGCCCUUGGGGCUGCUCUGUCUAUGGAGUAGCUGUUCUUUUAUUCCUUUACUUACUUUUUUUUUUUUUUUUUUUUGAGAUGGAGUCUUGCUCUGUCACCCAGGCUGGAGUGCAGUGGCGCGAUCUCAGCUCACUGCAACCUCUGCCACCCAGGUUCAAGCGAUUCUCCUGCCUCAGCCUCCCGAGUAGCUGGGACUGCAGGCGUGUGCCACCAUGCCCGCCUAGUUUUUCAUUUUCUUUUUAGUAGAGACAGGGUGUCACCGUGUUAGCUAGGAUGGUCUCCAUCUCCUGACCUGGUGAUCCGCCCGCCUCCGCCUCCCAAAGUGCUGGGAUAACAGACGUGAGUCAUCGUGCCCUGCCAUUUCUUUACUUUCUUAAUAAACUUGCUUUCACUUUGCACUGUGGACUUGCCCUGAAUUCUUUCUUAUGCGAGAUCCAAAGAACUCUCUCUUGUGGUCUGGCUCGGGACCACUUUCUUGUAACAGGAGGAAGAUGGCCUAUCUGGGACCUAAUGAGCUCAGGGUGCCUUUGAGAUAUUGACCAGGCAAGUGGGACUGGAGAGCAAAGCAGAGACCUAAUUUUUUUUUUUUUUUUUUGAGAUGGAGUCUCACUCUGUCACCCAGGCUGGAGUGCAGUGGCGCGAUCUCGGCUCACUGCAACCUCCGCCUCCCAGGUUCAAGCGAUUCUCCUGCCUCAGCCUCCCAAGUAGCUGGGACUACAGGCACGUGCUACCACACCCAGCUAAUUUGUUGUAUUUUUAGUAGAGAUGGCGUUUCACCAUGUUGGCCAGGAUGGUCUCGAUCUCCUGACCCUGUGAUGCUCCUGCCUCGGCCUCCCAAAGUGCUGGGAUUACAGGCGUGAGCCAUCGCGCCGAGCCGAGGCCUGUUCAUGUUCUGCCUCUUUGGCUGUAAUGGUGGCUGCCUAUGAGAGGCAUGGGUGGCUGGCAGCCCAGGUAGAAGGAAGCCUUAUCUUUUUCUUCCUCCCCUUUUGUAUUCUUGGAAUUGUGUACCAUUGUGCAUGCAUUGCCUAUUCAAAAA
rnacentral:lncRNA from 1 species